rnacentral:lncRNA from 1 species
AAAAAAUUAGUUUUUAUUUUUUUUUUCAAAUUUAAUAAAUAAUUUGUGAGACCCAGAUAAUUCUAUAUAUAAGAUAUAAUAGGGCUAAACUCUUAAUCCAAUUUAAGUAUUGUGGGUGGUAAUUAGAUCCAAGAUAUUAAGAGAGCUAAGCAUGUUAGGACGAAAGUAGUUUUAGGAUGGGCGACCACCACCUGUGAAGUUGGGGCAUCACAGUUAGUGUUAGAGCCAAUUAUCAACCGGAAGUGUGAGAUGAGUCUCAGCUGAGCCAGGAAGGCUAGCAAGAUGAGUCUCACAUCGUCUGAUACUUGUGAGUCUGAGUCUGACGAGAACGUCAGGGGUUAAAAGAGGAGAGAUUGUGAGACCCCAGAUAACCCUAUAUAUAAGAUAUAAUAGGGCUAAACUCUUAACCCGGUUUAAUUAUUUUGGAUGGUAGUUAGGCCAAAGAGGUUAAAAAAAUUGUGUGCUAGAAUUAGUCUUAGAAUGGAUAACUCCCUGAAAAGUUGGAGAGCCACAAAAUUAGUGUUU